UACGGGGGGCGCAAGCGUUGUUCGGAAUCACUGGGCGUAAAGCGCGUGUAGGCGGCCGGGCAAGUCGGCUGUGAAAUCCCGAGGCUCAACCUCGGAACUGCAUUCGAAACUGCUCGGCUCGAGUCCCGGAGAGGAUGGCGGAAUUCCCGGUGUAGGGGUGAAAUCCGUAGAUAUCGGGAGGAACACCAGUGGCGGAGGCGGCCAUCUGGACGGUUACUGACGCUGGGACGCGAAAGCGUGGGGAGCAAACAGG
rnacentral:rRNA from 1 species